rnacentral:rRNA from 1 species
GAUGAACGCUGGCGGCGUGCCUAAUACAUGCAAGUCGAGCGGUAAGGCUACUUCGGUAGUACACGAGCGGCGGACGGCUGAGUAACACGUAGGAACGUACCCCAAACUGAGGGAUAAGCACCAGAAAUGGUGUCUAAUACCGCAUGUGCUCUUCGGAGUAAAGCUACGGCGGUUUGGGAACGGCCUGCGUAAGAUUAGCUAGUUGGGGAGGUAAUAGCUCACCAAGGCGACGAUCUUUAGCUGGUCUGAGAGGAUGAUCAGCCAGACUGGGACUGGGAACGGCCCAGACUCCUACGGGAGGCAGCAGUAGGGAAUAUUGGACAAUGGGGGCAACCCUGAUCCAGCCAGGCCGCGUGAGUGAUGAAGGCCUUAGGGUUGUAAAGCUCUUUCACCGGGGAAGAUAAUGACGGUACCCGGAGAAGAAGCCCCGGCUAACUUCGUGCCAGCCGCCGCCGUAA